ACGAACGCUGGCGGCAUGCCUAACACCUGCAAGUCGAACGAGACCUUCGGGUCUAGUGGCGCACGGGUGCGUAACGCGUGGGAACCUGCCCUUAGGUUCGGAAUAACUCCCCGAAAGGGGUGCUAAUACCGGAUAAUGUCUUCGGACCAAAGAUUUAUCGCCUUUGGAUGGGCCCGCGUUGGAUUAGCUAGUUGGUAGGGUAAAAGCCUGCCAAGGCGACGAUCCAUAGCUGGUCUGAGAGGAUGAUCAGCCACACUGGGACUGAGACACGGCCCAGACUCCUACGGGAGGCAGCAGUGGGGAAUAUUGGACAAUGGGCGAAAGCCCGAUCCAGCAAUGCCGCGUGAGUGAUGAAGGCCUUAGGGUUGUAAAGCUCUUUUACCCGGGAUGAUAAUGACAGUACCGGGAGAAUAAGCUCCGGCUAACUCCGUG
rnacentral:rRNA from 1 species